UUUUUUGGCAGCCUGAGCGGGAGGUCGCGAGACCUGCCGGUUCUUCGCAAGGGGUCCCCGGUUCUCAACCCGUUCGGGCUGCCGCCACU
rnacentral:antisense_RNA from 1 species